AUUGAACGCUGGCGGCAGGCUUAACACAUGCAAGUCGAGCGGGGAAGGGUAGCUUGCUACCUGACCUAGCGGCGGACGGGUGAGUAAUGCUUAGGAAUCUGCCUAUUAGUGGGGGACAACAUUCCGAAAGGAAUGCUAAUACCGCAUACGCCCUACGGGGGAAAGCAGGGGAUCUUCGGACCUUGCGCUAAUAGAUGAGCCUAAGUCAGAUUAGCUAGUUGGUGGGGUAAAGGCCUACCAAGGCGACGAUAUGUAGCGGGUCUGAGAGGAUGAUCCGCGACACUGGGACUGAGACACGGCCCAGACUCCUACGGGAGGCAGCAGUGGGGAAUAUUGGACAAUGGGCGAAAGCCUGAUCCAGCCAUGCCGCGUGUGUGAAGAAGGCCUUUUGGUUGUAAAGCACUUUAAGCGAGGAGGAGGCUACCGAGAUUAAUACUCUUGGAUAGUGGACGUUACUCGCAGAAUAAGCACCGGCUAACUCUGUGCCAGCCGCCGCCGUAAGAC
rnacentral:rRNA from 1 species